rnacentral:tRNA from 1 species
GGCUCCGUAGCUUAGAGGAAUAAGAAGCGCCCGUCUAGCGAAUCGGUAGUCGUGAGUUCAAUUCACACCGGAGCAC